rnacentral:tRNA from 1 species
GGCUCUGUAGCUCAGCGGUUAGAGCAGGGGAUUCAUAAGCCCAAGGUCGCAGGUUCAAUUCCAGCCUGAGCCA